ensembl:lncRNA
UGACCUUAUUAUGCACAGGAAUUUUCCACUGGCAUUCUCGCCACGGAGAAAGGGUGAGAGAGGACAUUUUCCAAGCAUUUUAUGGGCCAGUGAUGACCUCUGCCUAAAACAGAACUUAAGUAACUUCUGGAACAAGGUAAUGAACUUCCUUACCACCUCCUUAAUAAACCUCUGCCAGCCCCAUAUCCCUGGCACACACAUCCUGGAGAGCAUGGACACUCCUCAGUGACAGGCUGGAAGUGGGCUGGGAAAGGAGGUCUGUGGAACUCAAGCAACAUUUUUCUGCUGACAUUGUAUGUCCUUGGAUCCGUGUUCUUCAUCCUAUGGCCCACAGAUGUGACUGUUAAACAGGUGAUCAGGGAGCACUAUUACCUCCCAAAACUCUUCUGUUGGCUGGAGAAACACCGUACCCUCAUGAAGGAGACUGAUGUGGUAUCUCUCCCCACAAGGAAAACUGUGGCCUUCUCCAGACUAAGUUGCACAACUUUUCAGUAUACUUCAGCAUUAACAAAACACUGGAUGGAAAAUUUCCUUUACAUCAACAAGAUUUGCUCAAUGGGAAAGGACAUUACCAUUGAGAAAAGCAGGUUUUCCAGCCCUCAGAACCUCAGAACCAAAUGGCAGCCAGCAACAAAAAAGAGAAAAGAGGGAAAAAAUUAUGGAAAUUAUAAAAAGUUCUGAGACUUUUAAAAUGUAAUUCUUUACUUGUGUUAAAUACUUGACAGGAAAUUACAAUAGACUUUUAAGCAAAAAUAAAUUUGAGUGGACUUACAGGAAAUGUUUCCUGCAAGACACAUAUGUAAAUAGGGCUACACCAUCUUCAUUAAAGCAUCAUAAAGAAGAAAGUACAGAUUUAGUGUGACAUGCAGUUUGUAAACAAUUCACAAAUCUCCAGUUAAAUUUGAACACGGUGAUGGAUGUGCACAUGCAGAGGUUGGAUUUUGGAUAAUUGCCACUGUUUAACUGCUGAAAAAAAAGACAAGAGGCAAAGCCUGAAGAGUUUUGUCAGCUUAGCCACUUCCAAAGUGACCUCCCACCCACGCACAGUCCCAUUCUCACAGCAAGAGCUGCUGUGCAAAGCCACUGAAACAUGCUGGUGACAAAGCACAAACAAACAGGAUCAGUUUCUGAUUUAAGAAGUAGAUAAGACUAAACCAAAGCCAAGCUGAAACUUUAGCCCAAAUGAAGAACUUUAUAGGACAGGGCUGGUUUUGUCUUGUGGCAGGGGACAGAAGCAGACUGCUCCAGCCUCUUCCAGAUCUGUGCUCACAGCAGCAACCUGUGUGGAUGGUGCUAUCCAAAGUUUGCUGCAGUUAAAAUACACUUCUCCAAAUCACCCAACUUUCAGCGUGCCUCUUCCCACUAUCUGCUUAAGUAAAUACAUUUUCUCAGUAGCUAAACAUAAACAAAGAGAUUACCACCUUUGCUUCAAGAUUUGCAGUGAGUAUUCCACAGCAUCCAGAUGAAUGACAUGUUACAGAACUGGGGCAUCAGCCACUGCUGACUAAUCACAGUUUCAUUCAUUAUAUUUUACAUAAUUUAACUGGCUGAAUCAGCUUACCAUUAAGGGAAUUUGCAAACCAUUUAAACCUUUUGCAGUCGAGUUCAUAACAAUUUCCUUUUCCCACAACCAAAGCUGUUUCCCCAAGUACCUGCACAGUUAUUUCCUGCUUGGGAUAUUUAUCUGUUUCAUGGGGAAGGUCUGUAAUUUCACCUGAGACACAUUGGCAGAGUUAAGCACAAUGGGAGCCUAACAGAGACCCCAGGUUCUGUAACCAAUAGAUUACAUAAUAGAGGUUUAUUACUUUCCAGAAGAAAUGCCAAAACUAAACAUUAACAGACAGAUUGACUUUCCUGUGGGGUCACUGUUCAUUAAAUUUCCCACUGCUUUUACAAUCUGAGCUGCUACAGUCAUUUAGCUUUUAGCUCAAGUCAUUAAAGCAGGAAGAUUGUUUCUUUAUUACCUUGUGACCAUUCUUCAUUUUAAUGACAUUUUUCAACCUCUCUUGCUAAAACUGGGAAACACUAUUAAAAAAAAAAAAGAAAAAGAAAACUGUGCCUUUUGUGGCUUAAACACAAACAAACCCAGUUGCUUCCAUCCUUCUCAUUUAAUAUCUGACAGGCACUGAUUUGUGCCAGGUAGGUAACCGGGUGCCUACUGGAGAGAGCUGGGUGAGCAUGCAAACCUCCUUCCCAGAGGCUGGUGGUAGACUCAGGGCAAUCAGCUCUGAAGGUGUGGCCCUGUGAAAACAGCAUUCUGUGGGCAGGGCUGUAGGAAAGUGCCAAGUUUUGACAGGUAAGAAACCAGGACUAGGAACUGGGGAUGAGGCAGUUGAACAGAGCAGGACAUGCCAGUGAGGGGUUUUGACACUGGGAGGGUGCACAGAUGCCCUGAGGCACCACGGUGCUGUAGCUGGGCCAGAAAGUAGCAGCUUCAACACCCCCGACAUCUUUUGUCUUCUUUCCUCUUCCAUAAGAGACUAUGCAGGCUUUGGACAGACACCAUCAUAAAAGGUCAUCCAGGUACAUCAGAGAGGACUGGGAAAAAGAAGAGGACUGGCAUAGAAGACAAUAAGAAACUGUAGAGAAAUUCCCUGCAAGAGACCCCAUCCAUCAAAGAAUCAUGGAAUAAAACCACAGAACGGCUUUGGUUGGAAAGGACCUCAAAGAAGAUCUAGUUCCAAACCCCUGCCACGGGCAGAGACACCUUUCACUAGACCAGGCUGCUCACAGCUCCAUCCAGCCUGGCCUUGAACACUUCCAAGGAUGGGGCAUCCACAACUUCUCUGAACCAUCUCAGAACAACCAACAUCCAACAAGGAUGAGGCCUCCACAACUUGUGGCUGAAUCAGCUUACCAUUAAGGGAAUUUGCAAACCAUUUAAACCUUUUGCAGUCGAGUUCAUGACAAUUUCCUUUUCCCACAACCAAAGCUGUUUCCCCAAGUGCCAGGGCCUCACCACCCUCACAGUAAAGGGUGUAGUAUCCUAAUAUUCCUAGUAUCUAAUCUAAACCUACUCUCUUUCAGUUUGAACAUGAAGACAGACUUUUUUUUUUUAAAAUUUCUUAUUAGAUAGAUAAACCAUAACAUUUAUAACUUUUAAACAAAUAUAAUUAAUAACAAGAUUCAUUACUCAUCUUAAUCACAUUCAGUAGCUACAGAUUUCAACAGCUGCAAGGACAUUACUUUUUGGACCAUUUUUUGAGGCCACAGGUUACUUAUAAACGCAAGGACCACAAUAUCAAAUAUUUGGUGAGAGAACAGAAUAAGAGAACCCUCUUAUCUGACAUCACUUAUUUCCCAAGGAAAAACCUUUUCUACAUAAUCUACUUUUAUUACAAUAAUUCCUUUUCUUAUAAUACAUCAUAUGUGUUGUAAGGGCUCAUGUCAUAGAUUUUACAUUGUUUUGAUGAAAUAUUGAACAAAACUCUUUCAUGUUUGCUUCCUGCUCAUCAAUUGUGACCUUUGAACUUUGUUUCCUAUCACUGAUUGAUGGUGGAGCAAUGCAACCUGACUGCUUUCCUGUCUGCCCACUCCAAAAAUGGAAAGCUGAUAAAAGCAAUAGAUGAGAUAGGAGGAGGCAAACAUCUGUUAAAUCAGUGUUCUAUGACUUAGAGAGGUUUUUUGAGCCCUUAACCCAGCAGACUGUAACAGCUAAGGAUGCCUAAAGCAAGAAACACCUGGGGGGACUUUGCAGCUGAGCAACAGUGGGAGAAGGAGGCCGUGCAACAUCUUAGGCUGUUCCUAACAUUACAAGCUCCAAUUAUUUUUCUUUUCUAAAUCCAGAUUUAUUCUUUGAGGCCAUCACUAAAAUGUUCUUUGUUUUUCCACUAUGAAACAGAUGGCAUAAAUGUGCCCUGCAAUUUUAUUGCUGUUACAAUUUCACCGUGUCAUGCUCAAACCAAUGGGUUCAUUCAGUCCACAAUAAAACCUCCACUCCGCUGUGCUGCCAAUGGAUGCACUGAAUAAAAUGGCAGCUGAAAAAGUUUCAAGUUGGCAAAUCAAUAUUUCAUUAUUUGUCUCAUACAGGUUUAUUAGUAAUAGAAACAAAGCUCAAGAACAGAUAAAAGCUUGAAAUGGUUACUUGGGAAAAUGUAAUAAAAAUGGACUUGUGGACAACCACUGCAUUUUUAAUCUUUUUGGGUUUUAGUACAAGUAUGUCUUUUUCAACAUGUUGGGAUUAAACAAAAUUGCUCAAUUCUUUUCUGUGUAAGGUCGGUCAAACUACUGGCUGAAAGAAUCUUUCCCAAGGUUAUACACAAGUGAAAGAAAACUUCUGUUACAAAUUUACCUUGGCACUGGUAUGAAUAAAAAAGAGUCUAAUCCGUGAAGAGGUUUUCUGAAGAGUGUUCAAGAGGAACAUGACUAAAGAGAAAAAACCUGAAACACAACAGGAUUUAACUCCUUACAGUCCUUCAUCAGUGCUUUUCAAGCCCAGCAAGAGUCAGCUGUUCAACACCUGUAAUGGUUUACAGCCAGAGGCAGCUACAGGAACUUGCUACUCUCAGCUCAGAGGGAUUAUCAAACCCAGAGAGGGUGGGUACAUGGAUACAGAAACAUUCAUAGAAAUCCACUCCCUUCAUUCCUUAAGGUGAAUACAGCAGGCAAAACCAAUUGUUACUGACAGAGGCUUAAAAGGGAAAUGACAAGAAAAAUAUUGCAAAUCUCUUGGCUCUAGGGGACACUUUAUCUGCAUGCCCUGUAGAGAUAACCUUAUUCACACCACCAAGGGAGCAGGGAGGGACUUUAAAAGAUACUAAGGAAUGAAAACACCUAUCAGGUGAGACAAGGUUGCUGGGAUAACCUCAGCACUCCUGCAUGACUCCCUCCACACCAAGCAGCCUCUGAUUAACCCUCUCUGGAAGCUGACUCUUUCACACAGAUUCCUCCAGUGCCUGCCCUGGCCGAUCCAGUUUAGCAGACCUGUAGCUCUGGUUGCUCUGCAGGGUGGUUGGUUCUGUGUGACUGGUUCAAUAUCCCCAUUUUGAUCUCCCUGCUGUGGAUUUGCUGAAAAUCUUGAUACCAACCACAGCACCAAGGCAGACCAAGGCAGAACAGAGAAGCACUUGUUAACUUGAUCCAAAUGUAGACAAUAAACCUAUAAAGAUAUCAAGAGAUGUGUACAUGAG